UCCGGGAAGAAGUGAGGAGCGCCUCUGCCCGGCCACCCCGUCUGGGAAGUGAGGAGCGCCUCUGCCCGGCCGCCCCGUCUGGGAAGAAGUGAGGAGCGCCUCUGCCCGGCCGCCCCGUCCGGGA